UACGUAGGGGGCAAGCGUUGUCCGGCUUUACUGGGCGUAAAGAGCGUGUAGGCGGCCAAGCAGGUCCGUUGUGAAAACUGGAGGCUUAACCUCCAGACGUCGACGGAAACCGCGUGGCUAGAGUCCGGAAGAGGAGAGUGGAAUUCCUGGUGUAGCGGUGAAAUGCGCAGAUAUCAGGAAGAACACCAAUGGCGAAGGCAGCUCUCUGGGACGGUACUGACGCUGAGACGCGAAAGCGUGGGGAGCGAACAGG
rnacentral:rRNA from 1 species